rnacentral:lncRNA from 1 species
UGAAACUUUCAACCACAAAAGAAAUGCUCACACGAAAUUCACACCACUUGGAGAACAAAUCUAGCUUUGGAGACUAUUUUCUAGUUAAAAUAUCUCUUGAGAACUUGUAAACAAAGUGUGCAAAAGUCUCUUCUUGGUUCAGAACAGUUUGUUUUUAAAGGGGACCAAAAAUGGGCUUCAUCAAUGCUUCCAACGGAUAGAAGGCAGAUGAAGAGUCAGCUAGCCGUUGGGGCUGUCGGACGUCCGACGACCAAAUCAUCGUCCGAACCAAUCGUCCGAAAGCAGCCAAGUUGAAGUUCGAACGUCCGAUGCGUUUUUAUCGUCCGACAGCACAGCGUCCGAUCGUUGGCAGAGAGUUGGCAAGUCAUCUUGGAAUUUUUCGGACGUCCGAUGCGGUUGAUGUGCGUCCGAGGCGUGCGUCCAAUCCUUCCGGACGUCCGAUGCUUCCUUAUGAGCGUCCGACAGAGCUUCCUUCUUGAUGUUCUUUAUCCUUUCGGACGUCCGACAGAUUCCUUUUGGACGUCCGACAUGAGUGUCCUGUUUUUGCUUCUUCUUUUGGUUGAUUUGCAUUUCAUGACAUAUUUGUACCUAAUUCUUUGAUAGGCAAAAACACUUAUAUUUGAAAAAAGUUAGACAAAUAUUUCAAAGUACUUUGUGAUCAUCAAAACCAAGAAUAACAUUCUCCCCCUUUUUGAUGAUGACAAAACAAAGGUUUGAAAUGAGAUUUGAUGAUUGGAAUAAAAGCUCCCCCUUUCUCAAUAGACAAGAACUCCCCCUUACUUAGUGAAUCAUAAAAAAUUUUGAAAAACUCCCCCUCACUUGACUGGCCAACCAAAUUAAACAAUUAUCCAAAAAUAUGACAAUUAAGCAGCCAACAACCAACAUUUUACUAAUUCAAUCCAUCAGCCAAUCCAAAUUUAAUCAACUCAUCAAUCAAUCCAACAUCAUCAAUCAUCAAUCAAUCCAGUCUUCUCCCCCUUUUUGUCAUCACAAAAGGGCAAUCAAUCACAUCCAUCUCAUCCACAAACACAUUCAUUAAUGCAAACCAAAAAGAAAUUCAUUAUAUCCACACAGUCAUCAUUCAAAAUACUUACAUAUCGAUCAAAAAGUACCAAAAGAAACAUAAACAUAAGCAUAACCAAAUGUUGAAUUCAUCUACAUAUCCAUUGUUGAACACCACAAACACAUAAAAGAGACAAACAGAAUGCAAAUGUCCUAAAUGGUGAACUAUGUGGAUCCAGGUGAUCUUCGAGAGAGCUGAUAUUGGGAGAGGUCCUCCUCAUCAGUUUCUUCAUCAUCUUCAGCAGCCUCUUCAAUUGGUGCCUUGCCUUUGUCUGAUGUGGAAGGGCCAUGAGGAGUCACAGGAGUUGAUGAGUUCGGAUUUGGAAUUGAUGAAGUUGGAUCAAUGGUGCGAGGCUCUUUGCCAUGUGAAACUUCCUCAACCAUAGGUGGGGGAAAAAGAAGAUUCUUUUUGUCUAAGUAGGCUGUUUGAUGCUCAGAGGACAUGGUGAGCAUUAGACCAUGUUCCAGAAGAAGAACAUGCUGUUUGAGUUCACGAAGGAGCUCAAUCACUUCAUCAUUGGAGGAGGAAGAUGCCUUAGUGGCAGACUUCCUAGGAUGAAUGGGAGUGAGUGUGACAAAUGAAGGAUCAUGUGCAACCUUAGACCUAUGUUCACUAGAUGAUGCCCCCUUAUAAGCCCAUAGAUUAUCCUUAAAGACAAGAUUUUUCCUUUCAAAAUAUUCUUUGGUAAAGGCAUAAGAAGAUGCUUCUUUGGGACAAAAACCCAGAAUUGGAACUUUGUAAAACUCAAAAAUCUUUUGAAGAAACUUUCCAUAAGAUAAUUUUCUGCGAGAAUCAGUGGCAUAGCGAAGUAAAAACUUGCACAUGACAAAACCAAAAUCAAUACGAAUUUUUUCUCGAAAACUAAUAAAAGAGAUACAACUCCAUUUUGUUUGCAUCAGUUCUAUGACCAUCAGUAGGCACAAGCAGGUUUGAAAUGAUUGAAAAUACAAUUAGAUUCACAGGGGCAAGAUCAUUCAGUUUAGCAUCAGCAGGGGAGGAAAAACUUCUUUUAAAAUAAGUCAACAUUUUAGCUCCAUCAAAAUGAUUAUCAGCAGUAGGGUGCUCUUCAUAGGAAAAGAAAUUUGCAAUUUUAUCCUUGCAACCACGUUCAAUGGUAGUAUUUAAAAUGGAAUUUACAGUUUCAGAAUCAAAGACUAAGUCUACCCCAUUAAUCCUGGACAUGAUCUCAGUUUGGUCAGUGUCUUUCCUAAGAUUAGCAAAGAAUUGAUACAGCAUUUCAGGGUAAUAAACAUUGGGCAUAGAAAUGAGAUGUGACCAUUUCUGGAAAGCAAAUAGACUUAGAAUGGAUUCUAAACCUAUGUGACGAAAUUCAGAAGAAUUUAUAGUGCGUUGAGGGAUGACACCUUUCUGGGAUAUCCAGGAAUGUCUGUCUUUUGCAGCAUCAUCAAAAAAUGGAGGGAGAGUAGUUGAUUUUGGAGGCGGUUGAGUUGAGGUUCCCUGUCCAGAUUCAGGCAGAGGGGUGGGUUGUGGUGUAGGCCGUGACAUUUGACCCGUCACAGCUCCUCUCUUGAAACGUUUGGAUGUCCUUUUGACCGUAGGAAGAUCAUCAUCCUCAUCCCUGAGUGGAUGCUUGCGUCCGGCAGUAACCUUUCCUCCUCUUAGAUUCACCAUUGUGCGAAAUGUGUGGAAUGAAGGAUGCAAAUGAUGCACACAGUAGUAAGGAAGUGAAAUACACAGAAAUUUUGGAACAAAAAUGCCUUGAACAAGAUUUGACAGAGCAGUUAUGAAAGAGUAGGGUUUUGAGGGAAAUUUCGGAAUUUGCGAAAUGUUAUGUGAUUCGGUGAAAUGAUCAGGAGAAAUGAAUCGCAAUCGAUCAGGAAAAGUUUUGUUUGAGUCAAUUUGGGAAUGAGAGCUUCAAAAUGGUAUGAAUUAGAGAGUGAGAGAUGAGAGAGUUUUCGUCCGAGAGGAAAUAGAAAAAGAAGAGUUUGAUGCAAAUGAGGAAGAAAGUUACUUUUAAAAAAUGAGCCGUUGUACUGUCGGACGGCCGAACGAAGUCGUGCGUCCGACAGUUUCGUCCGAACAGGUGCAUUCUGGGAAAAUAGCUGAAGAACAUCAUCGGACGUCCGUUCAUCCUCUUUCGGACGUCCGAAAGAAAAAAAAAAUUUAAGCUGAUUUUUCAAUUAUCCCUAAUUUUGAUCUUAGAUGAAUGAACUGAUCUAAUGGCAAAACUUUUGUAAAAAUAUCAGCAAAUUGAUCUUUAGAACAAACAUAAUUCACACAAAUUUCACCUUUUUGAACAAGAUCACGAAUAAAGUGGUGCUUUAUAUCUAUAUGCUUUGUCCUAGAAUGCUGAAUAGGAUUUUUGGUCAAAUUUAUAUCACUAGUAUUAUCACAGAAUACAGGCAUGUAGUCAUACAACAAUCCAAAAUCAUUCAAGGUAUGCUUCAUCCAUAAAAGUUGAGCACAACAUGCACUAGCUGCAAUAUAUUCCGCUUCGGUUGUAGACAAAGAGAUUGCAUUUUGUUUCUUGCUAAACCAAGAGACUAAACAAUUUCCAAGAAAGUGACAAGUUCCACUAGUACUCUUUCUAUCCACACGAUAACCUCCAAAAUCAGCAUCCGAAUAACCAUAUAGUGCAAACUCACUAGAUCUAGCAUACCAAAGAUCAUAGUCUAAUGUACCUUUCAAAUACCUAAAAAUCCUUUUUACAGCAUUCAAAUGUGAUUCUUUUGGACACGAUUGAAAUCUACAACACAAGCAAACAGCAAACAUAAUAUCAGGUCUACUUGCGAUUAAAUAGAGUAGGCUUCCAAUCAUACCUCUAUAGUGCUUUUCAUCCACAUGAUUACCUUCUUCAUCUUUGUCAAAUUUUGUAGAAGUGCACAUUGGAGUUCCAACUUGCUUUGAGUCCUCCAUGCCAAACCUUUUCAGCAAUUCCUUGGUAUAUUUUGCUUGAUUUAUAAAAAUUCCCUCAAGAGCUUGAUGUAUUUGAAGUCCAAGAAAGAAAUUUAAUUCUCCCAUCAUACUCAUUUCAAAUUCACUUUGCAUAGUGGUGGAAAAAUCCUUGCAUAGAUACUCAUUAGUAGCACCAAAAAUAAUAUCAUCAACAUAUAUUUGCACAAUAAGAAGGUCAUUCAACACUUUCUUAGUAAAAAGUGUGGUGUCCACAAUACCUCUUUUGAAACCAUUUUCAAUCAAGAAACCACUUAGUCUUUCAUACCAAGCUCUUGGAGCCUGUUUUAAACCAUAUAAAGCUUUAGAUAGUUUAAACACAUGACUUGAAAAUUUUGUAUUUUCAAAACCAGGGGGUUGAUCCACAUAUACUUCUUGAUCAAUAAAACCAUUUAAAAAAGCACUUUUAACAUCCAUUUGAAACAAUUUGAAGCCUUUGAAGCAAGCAAAAACAAGAAACAUUCUAAUAGAUUCUAAUCUAGCUACGGGAGCAAAUGUUUCAUCAAAAUCAAUUCCUUCUUCUUGUGCAUAUCCUUUAGCAACUAAUCUGCCUUUAUUUCUUACAACAACACCUUUAUCAUCCAACUUAUUUCUAAAUAUCCACUUUGUGCCAAUGAUAGGUUGAUUUUGAGGUCUAUCAACAAGUGUCCAAACCUUAUUUCUCUCAAAUUGAUUAAGUUCCUCUUGCAUUGCCAAAAUCCAGUUUUCAUCCUUUAAAGCAUCAUUGAUAUUUUUGGGUUCAAAAAGAGAAACUAACGCAAAAUUGUCUAUCAAUUUUCUAGAAGAGGAACGAGUCUUUACCUUCUCGGAUGGAUCACCAAUUAUAAGUUCUUUCGGAUGAUUUUGGCUAAAUUUCCAAGUCUUGGGAAGAUCUUUGAAUGGAUCAUCAUUUCUGUCCUCAUCUUCCCUUUCUUGAUCUUCAUGAGCUUCAUUCUCCAUUUCCUUUGCUUCCGGUUCAGAGUUUCCUCCAUCUCCAACUUUUAGCUUUUCCAUUCCUUCGCGAAUACCUACAUCAUCAUUCUCACACGAACGUUUGGAAUUAUCAUCAUUAGUUUCAUCAAAUGUUAUGUGUAUGGCUUCUUCUAUCACAAGAGUCCUUCUAUUAAAGACUCUAUAUCCUCUUUUGUUCUCGCAAUAUCCCAAAAAUAUUCCUUCAUCAGAUUUUUUUCUCAAACUUACCAAGAUGUUCCUUUAAAUUUAAAAUAAAACAUUUACAACCAAAGAUCUUGAAAUAUCCAACUAUAGGUUUCUUGUCAAAAAUCAGUUCAUAAGAUGUUUUAUUCAAAAUGGGUCUCAAAAGGAUUCGAUUCAUCACAUAACAUGCAGUGUUUAUCGCUUCAGCCCAAAGGUACUUUGGCAAACUACAUUCACUUAACAUGAUUCUAGCAGCCUCUUGUAGAGUCCUAUUUUUCCUUUCUACAACAUCAUUUUGCUGUGGAGUUCUUGCAAUAGAAAACUCAUGUGUUAUACCAUUAUGAUCACAAAAUUCUGGAAAACCACAAUACUUGAAUUCCGUUCCAUUGUCACUUCUAAUUCUAACAAUUUUUAAACCAAGCAGAUUUUGCACUUUAGCAAACAAUGAAGUGAAAUUCUUGAACGCAUCAUCCUUAUGAGCAAGAAAUAUUACCCAAGUAUAUCUAGAGUAAUCAUCUACAAUCACAAAGCAGUACUUCUUACCUCCCAAACUAGUGAUUUGAGUAGGACCAAACAAGUCGAGAUGCAACAGUUCUAAAGGUUUGGAAGUAGAUACACACUUUUUUGGUUUAAAAGAAACUUUUGUUUGCUUUCCAAAUUGACAUGCAUCACAAAUUUUAUCCUUUUCAAAACUGAUUUUUGGCAAGCCUCUAACAAGCUCCUUUUUCGAAAUUUCCUUUAGUAAAUCCAUGUUAAAAUGACAAAGUCCCCUAUGCCACAACCAAGGAUCUUCAUUUGAAGCUUUAAGACAUUUUAAGCUAGAUGAAUCAAUUCUAUCAAGAACCACAAUAUAUAUGUCAUCGAACCUCUUACCUUUGAACACAACAUUAUAUUUGGAAUCAAGCACAAUGCAUUCAUGCUUUUUAAACAACACAUUCAAGUCUUUAUCACACAAUUGACUAACACUAAGCAAGUUAUAACCUAAGUUAUCAACUAAGAGCACAUUAUGAACAAACGUUUCACCAUCCUUACCAACAUCACCUAUUCCAAUUGUCUUAGCUUUCACAUCAUCACCAAAUGUCACCUUUCCACUUGAUUUUGAUUUCAGUUUUAUGAACAAAGAGGGAUCAUUGGUCAUAUGCCUUGAGCAGCCGCUAUCAAUAAACCAUUUAGACUUGUUUGAGCCUUUUUCCUGAAAAGAGAAAGUGUUUGGUACCCUUUUUAAUUUUUGGGUCCACAAUAGUUAGCAUUGUAUCUAACUAACCACAUGCAUUUCAUCCCUUUGUUCAGAUUUCUUUUCACAUAGCAAUCACCUUUCAAAUGCCCUUUUUGACAACAAAAACCACACAUAAUGGAAGAGUUCUUAACAUGUAAUGGUUUGACAUAUUUCAAUCCACCUCUUCUAUAUGUUGUGAAACCAUGUGCAUUUUUAUUGUGUGCUAAUGUUCUUUGAUGAGCAGUAAGAUGGGUAGAUGACAUGUUCCUUUUGAGAAACUCCCGCUUUCUUGCUUUCAAAGUUUCAUCCAAGUUGUCCAUUCUUUUUUUCAAAUUACCAUGUCUUUCCUUCAGCAUUUCACAAAUAUUUGUCUUUCUAUCAAGCUCAUUUUGAACAUCACAUCCGGCUCUUACAAGACUUUCAUUGUCAGUCUUUAGUUGUUUAUUUUGUUGAAAAAGACUUGUAUUUUUUUGAAUGAGAAAAGUCAUUUUCUGUUUUAACUGCUUGUUUUUAUCAUAAGAUUCCUUCAAGGCAUUAUGCAGUUUUUCAACAAAGGAUUCAAGAUCAUCAUCUUCAUCAUCAUCACUUUCAGAUUGAGAGUGUGUGGAAGUUACCUCAUUAUUUUCAAUAGCCAUGAAGGCCAUUUGAGCUGAUUCUUCAUCUUCUUCAACUUUCCCUUCGGAGUUACAUUCAUUCCAAGUAAUCUGAAAGUUGUUGAAUCUUGGUUUUCGAUCAGCUUUCCCAUCUUUCAUUUUCUUCAUGGGACAUUCGUUUGCAUAGUGUCCAGGUUGUCCACAUUCAUAGCAUUUGUCCACUUGCUUCUUGUUGAAUUCUUGUUUUCCUUUGUUCCUUGCAUUUGAUGAAUAAUUUUAAAAUUGAUUGCUAGGUCCUUCCUUUCUAAACUUCCUUUUAUUCAAGAUUCUCUUGAAGCCUCUUGUGAUGAGAGCAAGGUCAUUAUCAUCACCAUCCGAGUCUUCAUCAUCCAAGUGAGUUGGAUCAUCUUCACCUUGAGUAGUCUUUAGAGCAAUAUUUCUCUUUGCUCUAGCAUCCUCUUCCUCCUGCACUUUGGAUUUCAAUUUCAACUCAUAAGAGGUUAGUGAGUUAAUGAGAGAUUCAAUAAGCACAGAAUUUAAAUCCUUAGCCUCCUCUAUUGCAGUCACUUUAUUUUCCCAUUCUUUGCCCAAUGCAUUGAGAAUUUUCCUGUUCUUCUCUCCCAAGGUGUACUCUUUGCCCAACACCUCGAGAUCUUUGAUCAAGUCAUUGAACCUGCAAUACAUUUUGUCAAUAUUCUCAAAAGGUUCAAUUUUAAAUGAUUCAUACUUUGUGACCAAGAUAGCCUUUUUUUGUUCUCUCACGUUGUCACCACCCUCAUGGAUUUCUCUUAACUUAUCCCACAUUUCUUUGGCCGAUUUACAGCCUUUUACUCUAAUUGAUUCAUUUGAAUCUAAGGCACUAUAAAGAACAUUUAUGGCCUUGGCAUUCAAUGUGAGGUUAGUCCUAUCUUGAGCAUUCAUUUCAGCUCUCAUUUUUGGCCGAAACAAACCUGUAUCUGCAUCAAGAAAGUUAGCUUCAUGCGGUCCUUCACUUACAAUAAACCAUAACUCAAUAUCAAUAGAUUGCAAAAAAAUAAUCAUCCUUUCUUUCCAGCUAACAUAAUUGGAGCCACUAAACAUGGGAGGUCUAGUAACAGAUUGCCCCUCAACAAACAUAGCAUGACUGGUUGUCAUCUUUACUCCAAGCCGUUUGAGCUUAAUCUCUAGGAGACCAAGCUCUGAUACCAAUUGUAAGGCCCAAAGACAACCUAAGAGGGGGGGUGAAUUAGGUUGAUUAAAAUCUUAAUCAAAUUUAUGCACUUUUUUCUUUAAUAAAAAUUUACCUUCUUUUCUAGUAAUGAUCAACCAAGUAGAUUAGAAUAAGAGAACACUAUUGAUCAGAGAAACAAGUAUAAAUAAGUAAUGAGAUUUUUAUUAAACAAAAAGUAAGAUAGAGUAUCAAACCGAUUGUCUACCAAGCUUUCCUCAAUCUUGAAGACCAAUCACUAGGUUGAGCAACUUCUCUUUGAUGAAAGAUGUUCAACUAGAUGUACAAUGGAGGGAGCACUUCCUCCUUGCCCUAAGCCUCACUUAGUCAAGCUAAGAAGUUUUACAAUCACUCAGAUAACCCUCAACAAAGCUACACUAAUGAAACUUUCAACUACAAAAGAAAUGCUCACACGAAAUUCACACCACUUGGAGAACAAAUCUAGCUUUGGAGACUAUGUUCUAGCUAAAAUAUCUCUUGAGAACUUGUAAACAAAGUGUGCAAAAGUCUCUUCUUGGUUCAGAACAGUUUGUUUUUAAAGGGGACCAAAAAUGGGUUUCAUCAAUGCUUCCAACGGAUAAAAGGCAGAUGAAGAGUCAGCUAACCGUUGGGGCUGUCGGACGUCCGACGACCAAAUCAUCGUCCGAACCAAUCGUCCGAAAGCAGCCAAGUUGAAGUUCGGACAUCCGAUGCGUUUUUAUCGUCCGACAGCACAGCGUCCGAUCGUUGGCAGAGAGUUGGCAAGUCAUCUUGGAAUUUUUCGGACGUCCGAUGCGGUUGAUGUGCGUCCGAGGCGUGCGUCCGAUCCUUCCGGACGUCCGAUGCUUCCUUAUGAGCGUCCGACAGAGCUUCCUUCUUGAUGUUCUUUAUCCUUUCGGACGUUCGACAGAUUCCUUUUGGACGUCCGACAUGAGUGUCCUGUUUUUGCUUCUUCUUUUGGUUGAUUUGCAUUUCAUGACAUAUUUGUACCUGAUUCUUUGAUAGGCAAAAACACUUAUAUUUGAAGAAAGUUAGACAAACAUUUCAAAGUACUUUGUGAUCAUCAAAACCAAGAAUAA